rnacentral:misc_RNA from 1 species
GAUGAAGAACGUAGCGAAAUGCGAUAAGUAAUGUGAGUUGCAGAAUUCAGUGAAUCAUCGAAUCUUUGAACGCACAUUGCGCCCGCCAGUAUUCUGGCGGGCAUGCCUGUCUGAGCGUCAUUUCAACCCUCAUGCCCCUAGGGCGUGGUGUUGGGGAUCGGCCAAAGCCCGCGAGGGACGGCCGGCCCCUAAAUCUAGUGGCGGACCCGUCGUGGCCUCCUCUGCGAAGUAGUGAUAUUCCGCAUCGGAGAGCGACGAGCCCCUGCCGUUAAACCCCCAACUUUCCAAGGUUGACCUCAGAUCAGGUAGGAAUACCCGCUGAACUUAAGCAUAUCAAUAAGCGGAAGA